CGGGGAUGACAAUGGACUGGCAAGGAGCACCAGUAAGUCCAAGUUCAUACACCGUGAAACGGUUUGUUCACCUAGAGAUUCCUGUAGAUAAUUAUCCAAAUGUAAGAUUGUUUUUUAUUCUAAUUUUUCUAAGAACGUUCAUUAGUUAUCAGUCCUUUUUCAUUUCUUAAAACUAGAGUGCUUCUCAUUACAUUAUUGUCUGGAUUACUACUUUGUAGAUUCUUAGUUCACUUUUGUUGGGCGGCUUUUGGGUCCUAGAGGAAAUUCACUAAAGCGAGUGGAAGCCACAACAGGAUGCCGGGUGUAUAUUAGAGGAGAGGUUUCAAUAAAGGACUCAGACAAGGCAAUGGAAUGGCUCUCCCUAUAUGAUGCAUUUUUGUGGUGUUAUAAAGACUCAUUCUGGGGUAGCUAUAUAGUUGAUUGAAAACCUGUGAAUGAUGCACACAACAAAAGGGUCAAGAAAAAGUAAAAGUAAAGAGGUACGUUUUGGAAUUCUUUUUACCAAAGUAGGCUCCUUUUUAUGUACCGGAAUAGGCAAGUCGACAUUAGAGCCGUUAUUGGCUAUAUUUAGAUCUGAUUUUUAAAAAUUUAGUAUCCGACUAGGUUUCCAUCCAUUGGAGUCUAUAAGCCUUGUAAUUCAUUAUUAAAGAUCCAAGUAUAGAUUUUUAAGCUC
rnacentral:lncRNA from 1 species